rnacentral:misc_RNA from 1 species
UGUCCGUAGGUGAACCUGCGGAGGGAUCAUUACAGAGUUGGGGACCCACGGCUCGUCAUUCCGACACUGCGCGCCUUCGGGCCGCACGCCGAGGGGGUAUAUAUCCACCCCUCUGCACACACACGGUGGCGAGCUGGGUAAAGGCUGGCAGCUGAUCUUUACACACGACUAAAAGCCAUUGUAUGUAUAUAUGAGAUAAAAACACAACUUUCAGCAACGGAUCUCUUGGCUCUG